GAACCGUCCAAACGUUAUUCGGAAUCACUGGGCUUAAAGAGUACGUAGGCGGCUUGGAAAGUUGGGUGUGAAAUCCCUCGGCUCAACCGAGGAACUGCACUCAAAACUGUCAGGCUUGAGGGAGAUAGAGGUGAGCGGAACUCAGGGUGGAGCGGUGGAAUGCGUUGAUAUCCUGGGGAACACCAGUUGCGAAGGCGGCUCACUGGGUCUCUUCUGACGCUGAGGUACGAAAGCUAGGGGAGCGAACGGGGAUUAGAUACCCCGGUAGUCCUAGCUGUAAACGUUGAGCACUGGAUCGGAGGAUUUCGGUUUUCCGGUCGUAGCGAAAGUGUUAAGUGCUCCGCCUGGGGAGUAUGGUCGCAAGGCUG
rnacentral:rRNA from 1 species